rnacentral:misc_RNA from 1 species
GAUCUGGACCUCAAAUAUUAUUAUAAAAUCAAUGUCGGUUACGAUUUCUAUCAGCCAGGUAAUGAAUCCUCCUUAAUUCUUCCAUAACCUUCCAGACUCGUAAUGGAACCUCCUGGAAGCUUUCCUCAUUCUCCAAUUUUCCCCAGAAACUUCCUUUUGAAACCCACUCCCCCAUGGCUACUCUUUAAAUACUCCGACGCUCUCCGUCCCUCUAGCCAAGAACGAAAUACGUCUGCUGAAGAAGAAAAGGAAGCUUCUGUUCCCUGCUUGCGAUAAGAUCCUCGAUUGAAGAAAAGAGAAAUGGAUAUUAGGUUGUUAGGUCUCGAAUCUCCCCUCUUUUCCACCAUCCAGCAUCUGAUGGACACGACCGAUGAAGCCGAAAAGUCAUUCAACGCGCCGACUCGAACUUAUGUAAGGGACGCGAAGGCCAUGGCUUCAACUCCGGCUGACGUCAAAGAGUAUCCCAACUCCUAUGUGUUUAUCAUCGACAUGCCAGGGUUGAAAUCUGGGGACAUCAAGGUCCAGGUGGAGGAUGACAAUAUGCUGCUGAUCAGCGGAGAGAGGAAGCGUGAAGAGGAGAAGGAAGGUGCUAAGUAUGUGAGGAUGGAAAGAAGGGUCGGCAAGUUAAUGAGGAAGUUUGUGCUGCCUGAAAAUGCUAAUGCUGAUGCCAUUUCGGCGGUCUGCCAGGAUGGGGUUUUGACUGUCACUGUGGAGAAGUUGCCACCGCCGGAGCCCAAGAAGCCCAAGACCAUUGAGGUUAAGAUUGCUUGAGGAGUAUUAUUGUGUACCAUCUAUGGACUAUGACUAUGAGCAGUGUGUUUGGCUAUGUUUUUUAUUUUUUAAUUUUUUUGGGGUGCUGAUGUGUAUCUGAGAUGUUAUAAAAGUUGCUUUUAAAAUUAAAAUCUUCUUUGCUUUUCUCCCUAUUUCUUAUGCACGAAAUUAAGAAUAAUCCCACUAACUAAUGCCAUUCAUCAAAAUUGAAUCCCAGAAAUGUAAACACUCAGCAGGUGAAAUGAUGUCCUGCCGCAUACAAGUUACAGAGAUUGUCAUGCAAUUUCCAGAAGAGGUACAAAAACAGGAAAAUCCAGCUUAUUAAGUACUAAUGAUAGAUAAAUAAUUAACAAGAAUGAAAUGUCUAGGGUAAAUGUUUGCAAGUUUAGAUGAAUUCUAACGAAAUGCUUAAUAUUGGAAAAUGUUCAUCUUGAAUACAAACAGCCUUCUCUCUCUUUCAAAAUUUUUCAAUCUAUGGAAAAAAAAAAGGUGGAUCAAGGAACAAGUAAUAAUUACUUUAAUUCUUCCAAGUUACUGGACCAGUUUUGUUCUGCGGGUUCUCCUCUGCAAAAUUAACCUGGAGUACCAUAUUUUCAAUGCUCCACUGUAGACUGCAGGCAUCAAAACAUUUUUUCUGUUCACAAGGCUGUAUAUUUUAAAAUGACGUUUCUGAGUUGAAAUAGUUCUAGGAGUGUUUCUAAUUCCAUUUUGUUCUUCUGAAUCAUUGAUGUUGCUCUUCUUGACAAAAAGAGCAAUGAAGAACCCCUCUUGGUCCUCAAUUGGAUCUGUUCGAAGUAAAUUCUCAGAGCCCCUGAAAACUGGAAGACCACGACGAUGCCACUGAGGAAAGGGAGUGACCAGCUGAAAGCCGUGGGAUGUUGCAAGAGGUAGAACUGACAUGAUGACAUCUUCAUUUUCAAUUUGGUUGACAGAACAUGUGCUGUAAACAACUCUUUCAACUGCAGGGACUGCAACAGAUUAUUUAAUUAAUGGCUGUUUAUCGUAUGUAAACAACUCC